ensembl:snoRNA SNORA73 Small nucleolar RNA SNORA73 family
GCAACGUGGGUAUCCCGGGAGGUCGCUCUCCCCGGGUGCCGUCCGGGUGGCCUAGGGAGCAUAGGGGCUCAGCCCCGUGAUGUUAAAGAUGAAGCCGGGUCUACAGUCUCCACUUGAAUAUUCCUAUGGCUUCUCAGAGCCCUGUGGACGAUGACUGAGGGGACAAACCAUGCAGGAAACAUCU